rnacentral:rRNA from 1 species
UACGUAGGGGGCAAGCGUUGUCUGGAUUUAUUGGGCGUAAAGAGCGUGUAGGCGGUCAGAUAGGUCCGUUGUGAAAACUCGAGGCUCAACCUCGAGACGCCGAUGGAAACCAUCUGACUAGAGUCCGGAAGAGGAGAGUGGAAUUCCUGGUGUAGCGGUGAAAUGCGCAGAUAUCAGGAAGAACACCCGUGGCUAAGGCGGCUCUCUAGUACGGUACUGACGCUGAGACGCGAAAGCGUGGGGAGCGAACAGG